GAUGAACGCUGGCGGCGUGCCUAAUACAUGCAAGUCGAGCGAACAGACGAGGAGCUUGCUCCUCUGACGUUAGCGGCGGACGGGUGAGUAACACGUGGAUAACCUACCUAUAAGACUGGGAUAACUUCGGGAAACCGGAGCUAAUACCGGAUAAUAUAUUGAACCGCAUGGUUCAAUAGUGAAAGACGGUUUUGCUGUCACUUAUAGAUGGAUCCGCGCCGCAUUAGCUAGUUGGUAAGGUAACGGGUUACCAAGGCAACGAUGCGUAGCCGCCCUGAGAGCGUCAUCGGCCACACUGGAACUGAGACACGGUACAGACUCCUACGGGAGGACGCAGUAGGGAAUCUUCCGCAAUGGGCGAAGGCCUGACGGAGCAACGCCGCGUGAGGGAUGAAGGUCUUCGGAUCGUAAAACUCUGUUAUUAGGGAAGAACAAAUGUGUAAGUAACUAUGCACGUCUUGACGGUACCUAAUCAGAAAGCCACGGCUAACUACGUG
rnacentral:rRNA from 1 species